rnacentral:rRNA from 1 species
CCUACGGGUGGCAGCAGUGAGGAAUAUUGGUCAAUGGGCGGGAGCCUGAACCAGCCAAGUCGCGUGAGGGAAGACGGUCCUACGGAUUGUAAACCUCUUUUGCCGGGGAGCAACGGGGUCCUUGCGAGGGCCCGAUGAGAGUACCCGGAGAAAAAGUAUCGGCUAACUCCGUGACAGCAGCCGCGGUAAUACGGAGGAUGCGAGCGUUAUCCGGAUUUAUGGGGGUUAAAGGGUGCGUAGGCGGGUUGUUAAGUCAGUUGUGAAAGUUUGCGGCUCAACCGUAAAAUUGCAAUUGAUACUGGCAGCCUUGAGUACAGUUGAGGUAGGCGGAAUUCGUGGUGUAGCGGUGAAAUGCUUAGAUAUCACGAAGAACUCCGAUUGCGAAGGCAGCUUACUAAACUGCCACUGACAUUGAUGCUCGAAAGUGUGGGUAUCAAACAGGAUUAGAUACCCCUGUAGUC